rfam:Myotis lucifugus cont2.318, whole genome shotgun sequence.
AGACCCAGAAAGAGAAGCAGGGUCUGAUCCGCAGCCUCCGUGGCAGCUGUUGAUCAGCUUUUGCCUCUCUUUCUCUCUGGG